AUACGGAGGGUGCAAGCGUUAAUCGGAAUUACUGGGCGUAAAGCGUACGUAGGCGGUUAGUUAAGUUAGAUGUGAAAGCCCCGGGCUUAACCUGGGAACUGCAUUUAAAACUGGCUAACUAGAGUUAAGUAGAGGGGAGUGGAAUUUCAGGUGUAGCGGUGAAAUGCGUAGAGAUCUGAAGGAACACCAGUGGCGAAGGCGACUCCCUGGACUUGACCUGACGCUGAGGUACGAAAGCGUGGGUAGCAAACGGGAUUAGAUACCCUAGUAGUCC
rnacentral:rRNA from 1 species